UGCGGUUAUACAAAAAUUAAUUUGAAUUUUUUUAAUAAUUAAUUAAUUAGUUAAUUAAAUAAUUUAAAUAUAAAAUUAUUAAGUAAAAUUUUAAUUAAAUUAAAAAUUUUAUUUGAUGAGUUAAAAAAAUUUAAUAUAAAACUAGGAUUAGAUACCCUAUUAUUGAGGAUUAAAAUUAAUUUAUAUUAAAGUAGUAGGUAUUUUAUAUUGAAAUUUAAAUAAUUUGGCGGUAUUUUAGUUUAUUUAGAGGAAUCUGUUUAAUAAUUGAUAUUCCACGAAUAAAUUUACUUAAUUUUUAAUUUUAUAUAUCGUCGUUAAAAAAAUAUUUUUUAAUAAUUAAAAUAUUUAAAAAUUAAAAUUAAAAAUUAAAUCAGAUCAAGAUGUAGAAAAUAAUUAAGAAUAUAAUGGAUUACAAUAAAUUUAUUUAAAUGAAUUUUAAUUUGAAAUAGAAUAAUGAAGGUGGAUUUAAAUGUAAUUUUAUUUAAUUUAAUAAAAUGAUUAAAAAUUGGAAUAUGUACAUAUUGCCCGUCGCUUUCAUUUUAUAUGAAAAUGUAUAAUUGAAAUAAGUCGUAACAAAGUAGAGGUACUGGAAAGUGUUUCUAGGAAGA
rnacentral:rRNA from 1 species